AUCUGUACAUAGUAAUUCCCUUUGCAAAGAGCAAGGCUGCUUUAGUUCCUCAUUUUUCCUCUCUGUAUACACCAAGAUGCCCUCCUUCUCCUCCCAGUUCUUCUGCUUCAGAUUAAACUUUUUCAGGAUGUUGCAACGCCAAAACAUGCAUUCUAACAGGAAAUCAGCAUCAAAGGACCGGAGGAGGGGAAGAAACAUCAACAAGCGGUGGGUGACGGAGGCGGAGGGCAGGUCCGUGCCGAUGCUGUGUAGCGCUGUGCCCCACAGCCCGCAGUCCGCAGGCGGCACAGUGCGGGCUCGGCACGCCCCCAAGCGGCCCCCCAGCGGUGCCCGAGCGGCUGCGGGAGAGCAGAGACAUGGCGUGGGCCGUCCAAGUCCCUGGUACCCAAAGGACGCCUCAAAACAAAACAGAAAGCGAGGGGAAUUGCUUUCAGAAACGAAAUAAAAAUGUCGGUGCACAAAGUAAUCCUCUACGAUAAAAUUUUAUUCGUGCUUCUUGGAAAAGAGUCAGAAAUUUUCAUGGAGAACAUAUAUUUUUCACAUUUGCUGCAACUCUCUAUUCAGUAGCAAUGAUUGUCAUGGAUUCUUAUAAAUAGUUGUAGUAAUAACAACAGACAGCAUCUGCACACCGCGAUGUUCACCUCUGCGGCAACCAAAGCGUAAAUUCACAAGGAAGUGUUGUGGACACUAGCACUGAAUCUGGGCAACACCACCUACCCAGCAAUCCUCCCCAGAGGAAAAACAACAACUUGAGGAUGGCAAAUGUUGCUCACAGCCCUCGAUCAAGUGUUGCAUUAGGAUGCUGGGGGCACACUUAGAGAAAAAAUGCAUGCAGGGUCCUGAUGGCCUCAGUGUAGGCAGUUUGGGGAGCUAGUGGCCAAUAUGGUUCAAAGGAAUCUUCCCAGACUGGCCACCUGCAGUCCUGUUCACUGCUGGGUGCCCACAUACCAUUGAAGGAAGACAGUACAGCAAAGGUGAGGAGUGGAGCCAAAGCAGAUCAUAGAAUCAAAGAAUCACGGAAUGGUUCUUGGAAUGGAAUUGGGUUGGAAGGGACCUUUAAGUUCAUCUAGUUCCAACCCCCCUGCUAUAGGCAGGGACACCUCCCUCUAGACCAGGUUGCUCACAGUCCCAUCCAGCCUUGAACGUCUCCAGGGAGGGGGAAUCCACAACGUCUCUGGGCAACCUAUUCCAGUAUCUUGCUACCCUCAUAGUAAAGAAUUCUUCUUAAUAUCCAGUCAAAAUCUACAUUCUUUCAGUUUAAAACCAUUUCCCCUCAUCCUGUCACCACUUGCCCUCAUAAAAAUUCCCUCUCCAUCUUUCCUCUGGGCUACCUUCAGGUACUGGAAGACUGCUAUAAGGUUCCUCCAGAUGAGUGCAUGUCUGUGUGCAUGCAUGCACAGAUGGGCAAGAAGAUGAAAAAGUUGUGCAAUGUUACAGUAUAAUUAAAAACUCACAAAGAAUUGUAAAAUGUUCUGAUUAAAUAUUGUUUGGGCGCAGCAAAAUAUUUUAUUGCCUCAGAUUGAAAAAUUCAAACAAGAAGCAGAAAUGUAUAGCACUUCUUUCCUCACCAUGAAAAUUGUCAUGCGAAAAUAUUCCAUUUUUCCAUUUAUAAAUGUGUGAAUGGUUUAUUUUCCUUGAAAUUGUUUGUAUUUGUAAACACAGAAGCAUACAUCUACCUUGAUAAUACUUGUUAAACACAAUUCAGCAUGCUUGAAAUACAGACUGAUCCCUUCUGAACUGGUCAAUGAUAUAAAAAUAAUUUUCUUUCCAAAAACAGAGUCCUCUUUGUAGUAAGUUCUCUUACCAAGUGCAG
ensembl:lncRNA